rnacentral:rRNA from 1 species
UACGGAGGGUGCGAGCGUUGUCCGGAAUCACUGGGCGUAAAGGGCGCGUAGGCGGCGCGGGGAGUCAACGGUGAAAGCUCGGCGCUCAACGCCGAGUCGGCCGUCGAUACUCCCGUGCUCGAGCACUGUAGAGGCAGGUGGAAUUCCGGGUGUAGCGGUGGAAUGCGUAGAGAUCCGGAAGAACACCGACGGCGAAGGCAGCGCCCUGGACGCCAACUGACGCUCGGGCACGAAAGCGCGGGGAGCGAACAGG